rnacentral:rRNA from 1 species
CACAUUGAUAGAUGGCUCAACUUUGCUAUUACAGCAAAGACAAAGCAGCUAAUUCUUAAUUUUACAUCUGUGCAUCCUACAAUGGAACCGUACAAGUUCCCUUUUCAGCUUUUCGAUGCCACCAAGAGUUCCAUCUUCCAGUCGUUGACACUUGGUUUUGUUUCUCUAAAUAAGCCUGCAAACUUCAAAGCUUUUUUAAACCUUAAAAAGCUUAUGUUAAUGUAUGUAAAUAUUACUGAUGAAGAACUUCAACUUCUGCUGUCCAACUGCAAAGUUUUGGAGUUUCUUGGAGUUGCUCGUUGUCAAAUGCUCACAACCAUUAAGACACUUCAACUUCCAGACCACUUUAAGCAUUUACGUGUCUUUCACUGCCCCUUGCUUCAAGAGAUAAAGUUGAAUUAUGGCUUGACAACACUUGAAUAUAAAUACGAAGGUCCAUCAAUACCGAUAGCACCUCCUGUAACUUUGACAAACUUAAGCAUAGAGUCAUCAGAUGUUUGCUCAGCUCUUGCAUAUAUCUCCACUGAAUUGCCCAGUACGGUGCGUCGACUGGAGAUGCUGUCUCUAAAAUGUGAAGAACUUGAGAGAGCUAUUAUACCGGAGAAGCCUCGCAAAUUUAUCCAUCUAAGGCACCUGAGAUUGGAAAUAACCUUUUUAUCCCUGACGAAAAGGAAGUCCGAUGCCCUUGAUUUUGCCUCCCUUUUGGAGGCUGCUCCUUUAAUGGAAAAGCUGGAGUUUCAUAUGUGGAUGGACUGUGAAUGUGUACGAUACCGCAAGCUUGAUGGCAAGCUAAGGAGCCUACCUCCAAAGCCACAUUCCCAUCUCAAGUUGGUCGAUAUUACAGGAUUUUAUGGUGAGAAAGAUCAACUGGAGUUUGCACUUUAUAUUUUGAGGAAUUCUGUCGUGCUGGAGGCAAUGACGAUAGAUCCAAAGCCAACUGUAGCUGCCGAGCAGUGUCGUCUGACAUGGAAAAAAGACGGGUUUUCUUACGUGGAUGGCUAUAGAGUUUCGAAGAAAUACCUUCUCAGGGCAGACCGCCGUGGUGUUGUUGACGUUGUAAAAGCCGGGCGUAAGGAUAUCGAAGCUCUGAGGAACGCUCCGUAUAAGAUGCCUCAAGAAGCUAAAUAA